rnacentral:rRNA from 1 species
UUAGAGUUUGAUCCUGGCUCAGAUUGAACGCUGGCGGCAGGCCUAACACAUGCAAGUCGAGCGGAUGAAGAGAGCUUGCUCUCUGAUUCAGCGGCGGACGGGUGAGUAAUGCCUAGGAAUCUACCUGGUAGUGGGGGACAACGUUUCGAAAGGAACGCUAAUACCGCAUACGUCCUACGGGAGAAAGCAGGGGACCUUCGGGCCUUGCGCUAUCAGAUGAGCCUAGGUCGGAUUAGCUAGUAGGUGAGGUAAUGGCUCACCUAGGCGACGAUCCGUAACUGGUCUGAGAGGAUGAUCAGUCACACUGGAACUGAGACACGGUCCAGACUCCUACGGGAGGCAGCAGUGGGGAAUAUUGGACAAUGGGCGAAAGCCUGAUCCAGCCAUGCCGCGUGUGUGAAGAAGGUCUUCGGAUUGUAAAGCACCUUAAGUUGGGAGGAAGGGCAGUAAGUUAAUACCUUGCUGUUUUGACGUUACCAACAGAAUAAGCACCGGCUAACUUCGUGCCAGCAGCCGCGGUAAUACGAAGGGUGCAAGCGUUAAUCGGAAUUACUGGGCGUAAAGCGCGCGUAGGUGGUUCAGCAAGUUGGAGGUGAAAUCCCCGGGCUCAACCUGGGAACUGCCUCCAAAACUACUGAGCUAGAGUACGGUAGAGGGUAGUGGAAUUUCCUGUGUAGCGGUGAAAUGCGUAGAUAUAGGAAGGAACACCAGUGGCGAAGGCGACUACCUGGACUGAUACUGACACUGAGGUGCGAAAGCGUGGGGAGCAAACAGGAAAAGAUCCCCUGGUAGUCCACGCCGUAAACG